rnacentral:rRNA from 1 species
AUUGAACGCUGGCGGCAUGCCCUACACAUGCAAGUCGAACGGCAGCACGGGAGCAAUCCUGGUGGCGAGUGGCGAACGGGUGAGUAAUAUAUCGGAACGUGCCCAGUCGUGGGGGAUAACGUAGCGAAAGCUACGCUAAUACCGCAUACGAUCUACGGAUGAAAGCGGGGGAUCGCAAGACCUCGCGCGAUUGGAGCGGCCGAUAUCAGAUUAGCUAGUUGGUGAGGUAAAGGCUCACCAAGGCGACGAUCUGUAGCUGGUCUGAGAGGACGACCAGCCACACUGGAACUGAGACACGGUCCAGACUCCUACGGGAGGCAGCAGUGGGGAAUUUUGGACAAUGGGCGCAAGCCUGAUCCAGCAAUGCCGCGUGCAGGAUGAAGGCCUUCGGGUUGUAAACUGCUUUUGUACAGAACGAAACGGUCCUUUCUAAUACAAGGGGCUAAUGACGGUACUGUAAGAAUAAGCACCGGCUAACUACGUGCCAGCAGCCGCCGUAA